rnacentral:rRNA from 1 species
CUACGGGUCGCAGCAGUGGGGAAUAUUGGACAAUGGGGGAAACCCUGAUCCAGCAACGCCGCGUGUGUGAAGAAGGCCUGCGGGUUGUAAAGCACUUUCGGUUGGGAGGACUGCUUCUAGCACUAAUAUUGUUGGAAGUUGACGUUACCUUCAGAAGAAGCACCGGCUAACUCCGUGCCAGCAGGCCGCGGUAAUACGGAGGGUGCAAGCGUUAAUCGGAAUUACUGGGCGUAAAGCGCGCGUAGGCGGCUAGAUCAGUCGGGUGUGAAAGCCCCGGGCUUAACCUGGGAACUGCAUCCGAUACUGUCUAGCUUGAGUACAGGAGAGGAGAGUGGAAUUCCACAUGUAGCGGUGAAAUGCGUAGAUAUGUGGAGGAACACCAAUGGCGAAGGCAGCUCUCUGGCCUGAUACUGACGCUGAGGUGCGAAAGCGUGGGGAGCAAACAGGAUUAGAUACCCCAGUAGUC